AGAGUUUGAUCAUGGCUCAGAUUGAACGCUGGCGGUAUGGCUAAAACAUGCAAGUCGAACGAGAACCCCGCAAGGGGUAAAAGUGGCGGAAGGGUUAGUAAUACGAUUGAAUGUACCCCGAGGUGGGGGAUAGGCACGGGAAACUGUGCGUAAUACCCCAUGAGCUCGAGAGAGGAAAGCCGCAAGGCGCCUUGGGAGCAGCGAUCGUCCUAUCAGCUAGUUGGCGGGGUAAAGGCCCACCAAGGCGAAGACGGGUAGCCGGUGUGAGAGCACGGCCGGCAACAUCGGGACUGAGACACUGCCCGGACUCCUACGGGAGGCUGCAGUAACGAAUAUUCCGCAAUGGGCGAAAGCCUGACGGAGCAAUACCGCGUGCAGGAUGAAGCGGCUUCGCCGUGUAAACUGCUGUCAGAGGGCAGAAAUACUGAUCGCCCUCAGAGGAAGAGACGGCUAACUCUGUGCCAGCAGCCGCGGUAAUAC
rnacentral:rRNA from 1 species